rnacentral:rRNA from 1 species
GACGAACGCUGGCGGCGUGCCUAAUACAUGCAAGUCGAACGCAGUGGGGACGGGUGAGUAACCCGUGGGUAACCUCCCAUCAGAGGGGAUAACACUUGGAAACAGGUGCUAAACCGAUACUGAUGGAUGAACCCGCGGUGCAUUAGCUAGUUGGUGAGGUAACGGCUCACCAAGGCCACGAUGCAUCGCCGACCUGAGAGGGUGAUCGGCCACACUGGGAAUGGGACACGGCCCAGAAUCCCACGGGAGGGAGCAGUAGGGAACUUUCGGCAAAGGACGCAAGUUUGACCGAGCAAAGCCGGGGGAGUGAAGAAGGGUUUCGGAGUGUAAAACUCUGUUGUUAGAGAAGCGGUAUUUAAACAGAAAGCCACGGCUAACUACGUGCCAGCAGCCGGGGUAAUAC